rnacentral:rRNA from 1 species
GAUUAACGCUGGCGGCGUGCAUAACACAUGCAAGUCGAACGAUGAAACUUAAAUGAUUUCUUCGGAAUGAACUUAAGUGGAUUAGUGGCGGACGGGUGAGUAACGCGUGAGUAACCUGCCUUACACAAGGGGAUAGCCGUUGGAAACGACGAAUAAUACCCUAUGAAACUAUCACUUCGCAUGAAGCGAUAGUCAAAGUGUUAGCGGUGUAAGAUGGACUUGCGUCUGAUUAGCUAGUUGGUGAGAAAAAAGCCCACCAAGGCAACGAUCAGUAGCCGGAUUGAGAGAGCGUACGGCCACAUUGGGAGUGAGGCAAGGCCCAGACUUCUACGGGAGGGAGCAGUGGGGAAUUUGGCACAAUGGGGGAAACACUGAUGCAGCGACGCCGCGUGAUUUAGAAGGCCUUCGGGUUGUAAAAAUCUUUUGUAUAGGAAGAAAAUGACAGUACUAUACGAAUAAGGUCCGGCUAAUUACGUG